GAUGAACGCUCGCUACAGGCUUAACACAUGCAAGUCGAGGGGAAACGAUGAGAGAGCUUGCUCUCUUAGUCGUCGACCGGCGCACGGGUGAGUAACGCGUAUCCAACCUGCCUCUGACCAAGGGAUAACCCGUCGAAAGUCGGACUAAUACCUUAUGCAGUCGUCGGAAGUCAUCUGAUGACGACGAAAGAUUUCAUCGGUGAGAGAUGGGGAUGCGUCUGAUUAGCUUGUUGGCGGGGUAACGGCCCACCAAGGCGACGAUCAGUAGGGGUUCUGAGAGGAAGGGCCCCCACAUUGGAACUGAGACACGGUCCAAACUCCUACGGGAGGCAGCAGUGAGGAAUAUUGGUCAAUGGGCGUAAGCCUGAACCAGCCAAGUAGCGUGCAGGAUGACGGCCCUAUGGGUUGUAAACUGCUUUUAUGCGGGGAUAAAGUGAGGGACGUGUCCUUCAUUGCAGGUACCGCAUGAAUAAGGACCGGCUAAUUCCGUG
rnacentral:rRNA from 1 species